GCAGCCGGGGCCUCAUGGUGGGGGCCGAUGGCCUUUGCCGCCAUCGACGGCAACCAGAUGGCCGCCAUGUUCGAGCCGCCGCGGUCACC
rnacentral:tRNA from 1 species